GGGUGUAGGCAGAUAUAACCGUAUGCUGGAAGACUUGGGAUGUAGGCAGAUAUCACCGUAUGCUGGAAGACUUGGGGUGUAGGCAGAUAUAACCGUAUAGUGGAAGACUUGGGGGUGUAGGCAGAUAUAACCGUAUAGUGGAAGACUUGGGGGUGUAGGCAGAUAUAACCGUAUGCUGGAAGACUUGGGGGUGUAGGCAAAUGUAACCGUAUAGUGGAAGGCUUAGUAGUUAUGCAGAUAUAACCGUAUAGUGGAAGGGUUAGGGGUGUAGGCAG